UACGUAGGGCGCAAGCGUUGUCCGGAAUUAUUGGGCGUAAAGAGCUCGUAGGCGGUUUGUCGCGUCUGCCGUGAAAUCCCGAGGCUUAACCUCGGGUCUGCGGUGGAUACGGGCAGACUAGAGGUAGGUAGGGGAGAAUGGAAUUCCCGGUGUAGCGGUGAAAUGCGCAGAUAUCGGGAGGAACACCGGUGGCGAAGGCGGUUCUCUGGGCCUUACCUGACGCUGAGGAGCGAAAGCGUGGGGAGCGAACAGG
rnacentral:rRNA from 1 species